UACGGAGGGUGCAAGCGUUGUCCGGAAUCACUGGGCGUAAAGGGCGCGUAGGCGGCUCGGUAAGUAGGGGGUGAAAUCCUGCGGCUUAACCGCAGGGCUGCCUUCUAAACUGUCGAGCUUGAGCACGGUAGAGGCAGAUGGAAUUCCCGGUGUAGCGGUGGAAUGCGUAGAGAUCGGGAAGAACAUCAGUGGCGAAGGCGGUCUGCUGGGCCGUUGCUGACGCUGAGGCGCGACAGCGUGGGGAGCAAACAGG
rnacentral:rRNA from 1 species